rnacentral:lncRNA from 1 species
AACUCCCGACUUCCAGGACCAGACAAUAUACGUAAUGCACAAAACCAAUAUAUUUUAUGGCCUAAAUGAAAAAAAGUAAAGUGGAAGGUCGGGCGCUGUUCCUUUAAGAUGCUUCCAGAAUCAAAUACCACUCUUGAAAGGGCUGCCAGACAAUGUAUCCAGGUAAAGAAUGAAAAAAAUAUAUUCAGAGGAAAGGCAGGAGGAUGUGUGGAAAGCUCAGUGAGAUUAUGGAAGUGCAGUAAUUGAAUAUGACACAAGAGUCAAGUGCAAGAGGGAACUGGUGAGAGAUUAACUUGAACUGGGGAAAGUAGGAGUCCAAAGAAACAGAAGACACACAAUAAAUGAAUGGAUAAAUAGAUGUUCAUGUUUUCAUGUCCACAAUAAUAGAAUGUUGGAAAAUCCAGUUUUCAGGACAAUUAUGAAUCACUUAGAAGGAAAACACUGGACAAGUUUACCAGCAUAGAACUCAAUAUAUCAAAUCAAUUGGUAGCUUUAUUUCUCAGCGUUGCUGUUUUUGUAAUCAUUAU